GGAGAGAUGUCCGAGAGGCUGAAGGAGCACGACUGGAAAUCGUGCAGGCGAGCUAAAACUCGCCUCGGGGGUUCAAAUCCCCCUCUCUCCGCCA
rnacentral:tRNA from 1 species